rnacentral:rRNA from 1 species
UUUCGGGGCUUUGGGAGGCUGGUCUGCGCACGUCGUAUGCACUAGCCACCUGGUCCCUCGCCUUCUGGAUGCUCGUCGCUGCUCUUCACUGAGUGGCGAUCAAGGGGGCGGCUCUCGGGUCGUUCCUGGAGUUCCAGAUCUUUUACUUUGAAAAAAUUAGAGUGUUCAAAGCAGGCGGUUUGAGCCUUGAAUAUCGCAGCAUGGGAUAAUGCCAUAGGACUCUGUUCCUAUAUCGUUGGUUUCUAGGGAUGGAGUAAUGAUUAAUAGGGACAGUUGGGGUGAUUAAUAUUUAAUUGUCAGAGGUGAAAUUCUUGGAUUUCUGAAAGAUUAACUUCUGCGAAAGCAUUUCACAAGGAUGUUUUCAUUAAUCAAGAACGAAAGUUGGGGGAUCGAAGACGAUCAGAUACCGUCGUAGUCUCAACCUUAAACGAUGCCGACCAGGGAUCGGAAGACGUUACGUUGAUGACUCCUCCGGCACCUUGUGAGAAAUCACAAGUGUUUGGGCUUCGGGGGGAGUAUGGUCGCAAGGCUGAAACUUAAAGGAAUUGACGGAAGGGCACCACCAGGAGUGGAGCCUGCGGCUUAAUUUGACUCAACACGGGGAAACUUACCAGGUCCAGACAGCAGAAGGAUUGACAGAUUGAGAGCUCUUUCUUGAUUUGCUGGGUGGUGGUGCAUGGCCGUUCUUAGUUGGUGGAGUGAUUUGUCUGGUUAAUUCCGUUAACGAACGAGACCUUAACCUGCUAAAUAGUUACGCAAGCCUUCCAACCGCUUGCGGCCGGGGGCAACCCCGGUCGUGGGUGGGAACGGCUUAGCGGCCAACUUCUUAGAGGGACUAUUCGUGUCUAGCGAAUGGAAGUCUGAGGCAAUAACAGGUCUGUGAUGCCCUUCGAUGUUCUGGGCUGCACGCGCGCUACACUGAUGGACUCAACGAGUUUACCGCCUUGGCCGAGAGGUCUGGGUAAUCUUCUCAAAGUCCAUCGUGAUGGGGAUAGAUCAUUGCAAUUAUUGAUCUUCAACGAGGAAUUCCUAGUAAACGUGAGUCAUCAGCUCGCGUUGAUUACGUCCCUGCCCUUUGUACACACCGCCCGUCGCUCCUACCGAUUGGAUGAUCCGGUGAAAACUUUGAAUGGCGAGCUUACAACCACCUGGGCAACUGGGUGGUCAGCUUGUCAGAAGUCGUUUAAA